AGUGAACGCUGGCGAUAGGCCUAACACAUGCAAGUCGAACGGCAGCACAGUAAGAGCUUGCUCUUACGGGUGGCGAGUGGCGGACGGGUGAGGAAUACAUCGGAAUCUACUUUUUCGUGGGGGAUAACGUAGGGAAACUUACGCUAAUACCGCAUACGACCUACGGGUGAAAGCAGGGGAUCUUCGGACCUUGCGCGAUUGAAUGAGCCGAUGUCGGAUUAGCUAGUUGGCGGGGUAAAGGCCCACCAAGGCGACGAUCCGUAGCUGGUCUGAGAGGAUGAUCAGCCACACUGGAACUGCGACACGGUCCAGACUCCUACGGGAGGCAGCAGUGGGGAAUAUUGGACAAUGGGCGCAAGCCUGAUCCAGCCAUACCGCGUGGGUGAAGAAGGCCUUCGGGUUGUAAAGCCCUUUUGUUGGGAAAGAAAAGCAGCAGGUUAAUACCCCGCUGUUCUGACGGUACCCAAAGAAUAAGCACCGGCUAACUUCGUG
rnacentral:rRNA from 1 species